GGAGUUGGGGUUAGGGUUAGGGUUGGAGCUAGGGUUAGGGUUAGGGUUGGGGUUGGAGUUAGGGUUAGUGUUGGAGCUAGGGUUAGGGUUGGGCUUGGAGCUAGGAUUUUUCUGAGUGCAAUGAACCAACUCCCGAGUCUCUAGGACGUUCCUAAAAAAAUUUGAUUUUUUCCCAUAGGAAUGCAUGGGUUAGGGUUAGGGUUAGGGUUGGAGCUAGGGUUAGGGUUAGGGUUAGGGUUGGAGUUAGGGUUAGUGUUGGAGCUAGGGUUAGGGUUGGGCUUGGAGCUAGGAUUUUUCUGAGUGCACUGAACCAACUCCCGAGUCUCUAGGACGUUCCUAAAAAAAUUUGAUUUUUUUCCCAUAGGAAUGCAUGGGUUAGGGUUAUGGUUAGGGUUGGAGCUAGGGUUAGGGUUAGGGUUAGGGUUGGAGUUAGGGUUAGUGUUGGAGCUAGGGUUAGGGUUGGGCUUGGAGCUAGGAUUUUUCUGAGUGCACUGAACCAACUCCCGAGUCUCUAGGACGUUCCUAAAAAAAUUUGAUUUUUUCCCAUAGGAAUGCAUGGGUUAGGGUUAGGGUUAGGGUUGGAGCUAGGGUUAGGGUUAGGGUUAGGGUUGGAGUUAGGGUUAGUGUUGGAGCUAGGGUUAGGGUUGGGCUUGGAGCUAGGAUUUUUCUGAGUGCACUGAACCAACUCCCGAGUCUCUAGGACGUUCCUAAAAAAAAAUUUGAUUUUUUCCCAUAGGAAAUGCAUGGGUUAGGGUUAGGGUUAGGGUUGGAGCUAGGGUUAGGGUUAGGGUUAGGGUUGGAGUUAGGGUUAGUGUUGGAGCUAGGGUUAGGGUUGGGCUUGGAGCUAGGAUUUUUCUGAGUGCACUGAACCAACUCCCGAGUCUCUAGGACAUUCCUAAAAAAAUUUGAUUUUUUCCCAUAGGAAUGCAUGGGUUAGGGUUAUGGUUGGGGUUAGGGUUGGAGCUAGGGUUAGGGUUAGGGUUAGGGUUGGAGUUAGGGUUAGUGUUGGAGCUAGGGUUAGGGUUGGGCUUGGAGCUAGGAUUUUUCUGAGUGCACUGAACCAACUCCCGAGUCUCUAGGACAUUCCUAAAAAAAAUUGAUUUUUUCCCAUAGGAAUGCAUGGGUUAGGGUUAUGGUUAGGGUUAGGGUUGGAGCUAGGGUUAGGGUUAGGGUUAGGGUUGGAGUUAGGGUUAGUGUUGGAGCUAGGGUUAGGGUUGGGCUUGGAGCUAGGAUUUUUCUGAGUGCACUGAACCAACUCCCGAGUCUCUAGGACAUUCCUAAAAAAAUUUGAUUUUUCCCAUAGGAAUGCAUGGGUUAGGGUUAGGGUUAGGGUUGGAGCUAGGGUUAGGGUUAGGGUUAGGGUUGGAGUUAGGGUUAGUGUUGGAGCUAGGGUUAGGGUUGGGCUUGGAGCUAGGAUUUUUCUGAGUGCACUGAACCAACUCCCGAGUCUCUAGGACAUUCCUAAAAAAAUUUGAUUUUUUCCCAUAGGAAUGCAUGGGUUAGGGUUAGGGUUAGGGUUGGAGCUAGGGUUAGGGUUAGGGUUAGGGUUGGAGUUAGGGUUAGUGUUGGAGCUAGGGUUAGGGUUGGGCUUGGAGCUAGGAUUUUUCUGAGUGCACUGAACCAACUCCCGAGUCUCUAGGACAUUCCUAAAAAAAUUUGAUUUUUCCCAUAGGAAUGCAUGGGUUAGGGUUAUGGUUAGUUAGGGUUGGAGCUAGGGUUAGGGUUAGGGUUAGGGUUGGAGUUAGGGUUAGUGUUGGAGCUAGGGUUAGGGUUGGGCUUGGAGCUAGGAUUUUUCUGAGUGCAAUGAACCAACUCCCGAGUCUCUAGGACGUUCCUAAAAAAAUUUGAUUUUUUUCCCAUAGGAAUGCAUGGGUUAGGGUUAGGGUUAGGGUUAGGGUUGGAGCUAGGGUUAGGGUUAGGGUUAGGGUUGGAGUUAGGGUUAGUGUUGGAGCUAGGGUUAGGGUUGGGCUUGGAGCUAGGAUUUUUCUGAGUGCAAUGAACCAACUCCCGAGUCUCUAGGACGUUCCUAAAAAAAUUUGAUUUUUUCCCAUAGGAAUGCAUGGGUUAGGGUUAUGGUUAGGGUUAGGGUUGGAGCUAGGGUUAGGGUUAGGGUUAGGGUUGGAGUUAGGGUUAGUGUUGGAGCUAGGGUUAGGGUUGGGCUUGGAGCUAGGAUUUUCUGAGUGCAAUGAACCAACUCCCGAGUCUCUAGGACGUUCCUAAAAAAAUUUGAUUUUUUCCCAUAGGAAUGCAUGGGUUAGGGUUAGGGUUAGGGUUGGAGCUAGGGUUAGGGUUAGGGUUAGGGUUGGAGUUAGGGUUAGUGUUGGAGCUAGGGUUAGGGUUGGGCUUGGAGCUAGGAUUUUUCUGAGUGCAAUGAACCAACUCCCGAGUCUCUAGGACGUUCCUAAAAAAUUUGAUUUUUUCCCAUAGGAAUGCAUGGGUUAGGGUUAGGGUUAGGGUUAGGGUUGGAGCUAGGGUUAGGGUUAGGGUUAGGGUUGGAGUUAGGGUUAGUGUUGGAGCUAGGGUUAGGGUUGGGCUUGGAGCUAGGAUUUUCUGAGUGCACUGAACCAACUCCCGAGUCUCUAGGACAUUCCUAAAAAAAUUUGAUUUUUUCCCAUAGGAAUGCAUGGGUUAGGGUUAGGGUUAGGGUUAGGGUUGGAGCUAGGGUUAGGGUUAGGGUUAGGGUUGGAGUUAGGGUUAGUGUUGGAGCUAGGGUUAGGGUUGGGCUUGGAGCUAGGAUUUUUCUGAGUGCACUGAACCAACUCCCGAGUCUCUAGGACAUUCCUAAAAAAAUUUGAUUUUUCCCAUAGGAAUGCAUGGGUUAGGGUUAGGGUUAGGGUUGGAGCUAGGGUUAGGGUUAGGGUUGGAGUUAGGGUUAGUGUUGGAGCUAGGGUUAGGGUUGGGCUUGGAGCUAGGAUUUUUCUGAGUGCAAUGAACCAACUCCCGAGUCUCUAGGACGUUCCUAAAAAAUUUGAUUUUUUCCCAUAGGAAUGCAUGGGUUAGGGUUAGGGUUAGGGUUGGAGCUAGGGUUAGGGUUAGGGUUAGGGUUGGAGUUAGGGUUAGUGUUGGAGCUAGGGUUAGGGUUGGGCUUGGAGCUAGGAUUUUUCUGAGUGCACUGAACCAACUCCCGAGUCUCUAGGACGUUCCUAAAAAAAUUUGAUUUUUUCCCAUAGGAAUGCAUGGGUUAGGGUUAGGGUUAGGGUUAGGGUUGGAGCUAGGGUUAGGGUUAGGGUUAGGGUUGGAGUUAGGGUUAGUGUUGGAGCUAGGGUUAGGGUUGGGCUUGGAGCUAGGAUUUUUCUGAGUGCACUGAACCAACUCCCGAGUCUCUCUAGGAGGCGUUCCUAAAAAAUUUGAUUUUUUCCCAUAGGAAUGCAUGGGUUAGGGUUAGGGUUAGGGUUAGGGUUGGAGCUAGGGUUAGGGUUAGGGUUAGGGUUGGAGUUAGGGUUAGUGUUGGAGCUAGGGUUAGGGUUGGGCUUGGAGCUAGGAUUUUUCUGAGUGCAAUGAACCAACUCCCGAGUCUCUUGGACGUUCCUAAAAAAAUUUGAUUUUUUUCCCAUAGGAAUGCAUGGGUUAGGGUUAGGGUUAGGGUUGGAGCUAGGGUUAGGGUUAGGGUUAGGGUUGGAGUUAGGGUUAGUGUUGGAGCUAGGGUUAGGGUUGGGCUUGGAGCUAGGAUUUUUCUGAGUGCACUGAACCAACUCCCGAGUCUCUAGGACAUUCCUAAAAAAAUUUGAUUUUUUCCCAUAGGAAUGCAUGGGUUAGGGUUAGGGUUAGGGUUGGAGCUAGGGUUAGGGUUAGGGUUAGGGUUGGAGUUAGGGUUAGUGUUGGAGCUAGGGUUAGGGUUGGGCUUGGAGCUAGGAUUUUUCUGAGUGCACUGAACCAACUCCCGAGUCUCUAGGACAUUCCUAAAAAAAUUUGAUUUUUUCCCAUAGGAAUGCAUGGGUUAGGGUUAUGGUUAGGGUUAGGGUUGGAGCUAGGGUUAGGGUUAGGGUUAGGGUUGGAGUUAGGGUUAGUGUUGGAGCUAGGGUUAGGGUUGGGCUUGGAGCUAGGAUUUUUCUGAGUGCACUGAACCAACUCCCGAGUCUCUAGGACGUUCCUAAAAAAUUUGAUUUUUUCCCAUAGGAAUGCAUGGGUUAGGGUUAUGGUUAGGGUUAGGGUUGGAGCUAGGGUUAGGGUUAGGGUUAGGGUUGGAGUUAGGGUUAGUGUUGGAGCUAGGGUUAGGGUUGGGCUUGGAGCUAGGAUUUUUCUGAGUGCACUGAACCAACUCCCGAGUCUCUAGGACAUUCCUAAAAAAAUUUGAUUUUUUUCCCAUAGGAAUGCAUGGGUUAGGGUUAGGGUUAGGGUUGGAGCUAGGGUUAGGGUUAGGGUUAGGGUUGGAGUUAGGGUUAGUGUUGGAGCUAGGGUUAGGGUUGGGCUUGGAGCUAGGAUUUUUCUGAGUGCACUGAACCAACUCCCGAGUCUCUAGGACAUUCCUAAAAAAAAAUUUGAUUUUUUCCCAUAGGAAUGCAUGGGUUAGGGUUAUGGUUAGGGUUAGGGUUGGAGCUAGGGUUAGGGUUAGGGUUAGGGUUGGAGUUAGGGUUAGUGUUGGAGCUAGGGUUAGGGUUGGGCUUGGAGCUAGGAUUUUUCUGAGUGCACUGAACCAACUCCCGAGUCUCUAGGACAUUCCUAAAAAAAAAUUGAUUUUUUCCCAUAGGAAUGCAUGGGUUAGGGUUAUGGUUAGGGUUAGGGUUGGAGCUAGGGUUAGGGUUAGGGUUAGGGUUGGAGUUAGGGUUAGUGUUGGAGCUAGGGUUAGGGUUGGGCUUGGAGCUAGGAUUUUUCUGAGUGCAAUGAACCAACUCCCGAGUCUCUAGGACAUUCCUAAAAAAAUUUGAUUUUUUCCCAUAGGAAUGCAUGGGUUAGGGUUAGGGUUAGGGUUGGAGCUAGGGUUAGGGUUAGGGUUGGGUUGGAGUUAGGGUUAGUGUUGGAGCUAGGGUUAGGGUUGGGCUUGGAGCUAGGAUUUUUCUGAGUGCAAUGAACCAACUCCCGAGUCUCUAGGACAUUCCUAAAAAAAUUUGAUUUUUUCCCAUAGGAAUGCAUGGGUUAGGGUUAGGGUUAGGGUUGGAGCUAGGGUUAGGGUUAGGGUUAGGGUUGGAGUUAGGGUUAGUGUUGGAGCUAGGGUUAGGGUUGGGCUUGGAGCUAGGAUUUUUCUGAGUGCAAUGAACCAACUCCCGAGUCUCUAGGACAUUCCUAAAAAAAAAUUUGAUUUUUUCCCAUAGGAAUGCAUGGGUUAGGGUUAUGGUUAGGGUUAGGGUUGGAGCUAGGGUUAGGGUUAGGGUUAGGGUUGGAGUUAGGGUUAGUGUUGGAGCUAGGGUUAGGGUUGGGCUUGGAGCUAGGAUUUUUCUGAGUGCAAUGAACCAACUCCCGAGUCUCUAGGACGUUCUAAAAAAAAUUUGAUUUUUUCCCAUAGGAAUGCAUGGGUUAGGGUUAUGGUUAGGGUUAGGGUUGGAGCUAGGGUUAGGGUUAGGGUUAGGGUUGGAGUUAGGGUUAGUGUUGGAGCUAGGGUUAGGGUUGGGCUUGGAGCUAGGAUUUUUCUGAGUGCAAUGAACCAACUCCCGAGUCUCUAGGACGUUCCUAAAAAAAUUUGAUUUUUUCCCAUAGGAAUGCAUGGGUUAGGGUUAGGGUUAGGGUUGGAGCUAGGGUUAGGGUUAGGGUUAGGGUUGGAGUUAGGGUUAGUGUUGGAGCUAGGGUUAGGGUUGGGCUUGGAGCUAGGAUUUUUCUGAGUGCAAUGAACCAACUCCCGAGUCUCUAGGACGUUCCUAAAAAAAAAUUUGAUUUUUUCCCAUAGGAAUGCAUGGGUUAGGGUUAGGGUUAGGGUUGGAGCUAGGGUUAGGGUUAGGGUUAGGGUUGGAGUUAGGGUUAGUGUUGGAGCCAGGGUUAGGGUUGGGCUUGGAGCUAGGAUUUUUCUGAGUGCACUGAACCAACUCCCGAGUCUCUAGGACAUUCCUAAAAAAUUUGAUUUUUUUCCCAUAGGAAUGCAUGGGUUAGGGUUAGUGGUUAGGGUUAGGGUUGGAGCUAGGGUUAGGGUUAGGGUUAGGGUUGGAGUUAGGGUUAGUGUUGGAGCUAGGGUUAGGGUUGGGCUUGGAGCUAGGAUUUUUCUGAGUGCAAUGAACCAACCCCCGAGUCUCUAGGACGUUCCUAAAAAAAUUUGAUUUUUUCCCUAUAGGAAUGCAUGGGUUAGGGUUAGGGUUAGGGUUGGAGCUAGGGUUAGGGUUAGGGUUAGGGUUGGAGUUAGGGUUAGUGUUGGAGCUAGGGUUAGGGUUGGGCUUGGAGCUAGGAUUUUUCUGAGUGCAAUGAACCAACUCCCGAGUCUCUAGGACGUUCCUAAAAAAAUUUGAUUUUUUCCCAUAGGAAUGCAUGGGUUAGGGUUAGGGUUAGGGUUGGAGCUAGGGUUAGGGUUAGGGUUAGGGUUGGAGUUAGGGUUAGUGUUGGAGCUAGGGUUAGGGUUGGGCUUGGAGCUAGGUUUUUCUGAGGGUGCACUGAACCAACUCCCGAGUCUCUAGGACAUUCCUAAAAAAAUUUGAUUUUUUCCCAUAGGAAUGCAUGGGUUAGGGUUAUGGUUAGGGUUGGAGCUAGGGUUAGGGUUAGGGUUAGGGUUGGAGUUAGGGUUAGUGUUGGAGCUAGGGUUAGGGUUGGGCUUGGAGCUAGGAUUUUUCUGAGUGCACUGAACCAACUCCCGAGUCUCUAGGACAUUCCUAAAAAAAUUUGAUUUUUUCCCAUAGGAAUGCAUGGGUUAGGGUUAGGGUUAGGGUUGGAGCUAGGGUUAGGGUUAGGGUUAGGGUUGGAGUUAGGGUUAGUGUUGGAGCUAGGGUUAGGGUUGGGCUUGGAGCUAGGAUUUUUCUGAGUGCACUGAACCAACUCCCGAGUCUCUAGGACAUUCCUAAAAAAAUUUGAUUUUUCCCAUAGGAAUGCAUGGGUUAGGGUUAUGGUUAGGGUUAGGGUUGGAGCUAGGGUUAGGGUUAGGGUUAGGGUUGGAGUUAGGGUUAGUGUUGGAGCUAGGGUUAGGGUUGGGCUUGGAGCUAGGAUUUUUCUGAGUGCACUGAACCAACUCCCGAGUCUCUAGGACAUUCCUAAAAAAAUUUGAUUUUUUUCCCAUAGGAAUGCAUGGGUUAGGGUUAGGGUUAUGGUUAGGGUUAGGGUUAGGGUUAGGGUUAGGGUUGGAGUUAGGGUUAGUGUUGGAGCUAGGGUUAGGGUUGGGCUUGGAGCUAGGAUUUUUCUGAGUGCACUGAACCAACUCCCGGGUCUCUAGGACAUUCCUAAAAAAAUUUGAUUUUUUCCCAUAGGAAUGCAUGGGUUAGGGUUAGGGUUAGGGUUGGAGCUAGGGUUAGGGUUAGGGUUAGGGUUGGAGUUAGGGUUAGUGUUGGAGCUAGGGUUAGGGUUGGGCUUGGAGCUAGGAUUUUUCUGAGUGCAAUGAACCAACUCCCGAGUCUCUAGGACAUUCCUAAAAAAAUUUGAUUUUUUCCCAUAGGAAUGCAUGGGUUAGGGUUAGGGUUAGGGUUGGAGCUAGGGUUAGGGUUAGGGUUAGGGUUGGAGUUAGGGUUAGUGUUGGAGCUAGGGUUAGGGUUGGGCUUGGAGCUAGGAUUUUUCUGAGUGCACUGAACCAACUCCCGAGUCUCUAGGACAUUCCUAAAAAAAUUUGAUUUUUUUCCCAUAGGAAUGCAUGGGUUAGGGUUAUGGUUAGGGUUAGGGUUGGAGCUAGGGUUAGGGUUAGGGUUAGGGUUGGAGUUAGGGUUAGUGUUGGAGCUAGGGUUAGGGUUGGGCUUGGAGCUAGGAUUUUUCUGAGUGCAAUGAACCAACCCCCGAGUCUCUAGGACGUUCCUAAAAAAAUUUGAUUUUUUCCCAUAGGAAUGCAUGGGUUAGGGUUAUGGUUAGGGUUGGAGCUAGGGUUAGGGUUAGGGUUAGGGUUGGAGUUAGGGUUAGUGUUGGAGCUAGGGUUAGGGUUGGGCUUGGAGCUAGGAUUUUUCUGAGUGCAAUGAACCAACUCCCGAGUCUCUAGGACGUUCCUAAAAAAUUUGAUUUUUUCCCAUAGGAAUGCAUGGGUUAGGGUUAGGGUUAGGGUUGGAGCUAGGGUUAGGGUUAGGGUUAGGGUUGGAGUUAGGGUUAGUGUUGGAGCUAGGGUUAGGGUUGGGCUUGGAGCUAGGAUUUUUCUGAGUGCACUGAACCAACUCCCGAGUCUCUAGGACGUUCCUAAAAAAAUUUGAUUUUUUCCCAUAGGAAUGCAUGGGUUAGGGUUAUGGUUAGGGUUAGGGUUAGGGUUGGAGUUAGGGUUAGUGUUGGAGCUAGGGUUAGGGUUGGGCUUGGAGCUAGGAUUUUUCUGAGUGCACUGAACCAACUCCCGAGUCUCUAGGACAUUCCUAAAAAAAUUUGAUUUUUUCCCAUAGGAAUGCAUGGGUUAGGGUUAGGGUUAGGGUUGGAGCUAGGGUUAGGGUUAGGGUUAGGGUUGGAGUUAGGGUUAGUGUUGGAGCUAGGGUUAGGGUUGGGCUUGGAGCUAGGAUUUUUCUGAGUGCACUGAACCAACUCCCGAGUCUCUAGGACAUUCCUAAAAAAAUUUGAUUUUUUCCUAUAGGAAUGCAUGGGUUAGGGUUAUGGUUAGGGUUAGGGUUGGAGCUAGGGUUAGGGUUAGGGUUAGGGUUGGAGUUAGGGUUAGUGUUGGAGCUAGGGUUAGGGUUGGGCUUGGAGCUAGGAUUUUUCUGAGUGCACUGAACCAACUCCCGAGUCUCUAGGACAUUCCUAAAAAAAUUUGAUUUUUUCCCAUAGGAAUGCAUGGGUUAGGGUUAGGGUUAGGGUUGGAGCUAGGGUUAGGGUUAGGGUUAGGGUUGGAGUUAGGGUUAGUGUUGGAGCUAGGGUUAGGGUUGGGCUUGGAGCUAGGAUUUUUCUGAGUGCACUGAACCAACUCCCGAGUCUCUAGGACAUUCCUAAAAAAAUUUGAUUUUUUCCUAUAGGAAUGCAUGGGUUAGGGUUAUGGUUAGGGUUAGGGUUGGAGCUAGGGUUAGGGUUAGGGUUAGGGUUGGAGUUAGGGUUAGUGUUGGAGCUAGGGUUAGGGUUGGGCUUGGAGCUAGGAUUUUUCUGAGUGCACUGAACCAACUCCCGAGUCUCUAGGACAUUCCUAAAAAAAUUUGAUUUUUUCCCAUAGGAAUGCAUGGGUUAGGGUUAUGGUUAGGGUAAGGGUUGGAGCUAGGGUUAGGGUUAGGGUUAGGGUUGGAGUUAGGGUUAGUGUUGGAGCUAGGGUUAGGGUUGGGCUUGGAGCUAGGAUUUUUCUGAGUGCAAUGAACCAACUCCCGAGUCUCUAGGACGUUCCUAAAAAAAUUUGAUUUUUUCCCAUAGGAAUGCAUGGGUUAGGGUUAGGGUUAGGGUUGGAGCUAGUGUUAGGGUUAGGGAUAGGGUUGGAGUUAAGGUUAGUGUUGGAGCUAGGGUUAGGGUUGGGCUUGGAGCUAGGAUUUUUCUGAGUGCACUGAACCAACUCCCGAGUCUCUAGGACGUUCCUAAAAAAAUUUGAUUUUUUCCCAUAGGAAUGCAUGGGUUAGGGUUAUGGUUAGGGUUGGAGCUAGGGUUAGGGUUAGGGUUAGGGUUGGAGUUAGGGUUAGUGUUGGAGCUAGGGUUAGGGUUGGGCUUGGAGCUAGGAUUUUUCUGAGUGCAAUGAACCAACUCCCGAGUCUCUAGGACGUUCCUAAAAAAAUUUGAUUUUUUCCCAUAGGAAUGCAUGGGUUAGGGUUAGGGUUAGGGUUGGAGCUAGGGUUAGGGUUAGGGUUAGGGUUGGAGUUAGGGUUAGUGUUGGAGCUAGGGUUAGGGUUGGGCUUGGAGCUAGGAUUUUUCUGAGUGCACUGAACCAACUCCCGAGUCUCUAGGACGUUCCUAAAAAAAUUUGAUUUUUUCCCAUAGGAAUGCAUGGGUUAGGGUUAGGGUUAGGGUUAGGGUUGGAGCUAGGGUUAGGGUUAGGGUUAGGGUUGGAGUUAGGGUUGGGCUUGGAGCUAGGGUUAGGGUUGGGCUUGGAGCUAGGAUUUUUCUGAGUGCAAUGAACCAACCCCGAGUCUCUAGGACGUUCCUAAAAAAUCUGAUUUUUUCCCAUAGGAAUGCAUGGGUUAGGGUUAUGGUUAGGGUUAGGGUUGGAGCUAGGGUUAGGGUUAGGGUUAGGGUUGGAGUUAGGGUUAGUGUUGGAGCUAGGGUUAGGCUUGGGCUUGGAGCUAGGAUUUUUCUGAGUGCAAUGAACCAACUCCCGAGUCUCUAGGACGUUCCUAAAAAAAUUUGAUUUUUUCCCAUAGGAAUGCAUGGGUUAGGGUUAGGGUUAGGGUUGGAGCUAGGGUUAGGGUUAGGGUUAGGGUUGGAGUUAGGGUUAGUGUUGGAGCUAGGGUUAGGGUUGGGCUUGGAGCUAGGAUUUUUCUGAGUGCACUGAACCAACUCCCGAGUCUCUAGGACAUUCCUAAAAAAAUUUGAUUUUUUCCCAUAGGAAUGCAUGGGUUAGGGUUAGGGUUAGGGUUGGAGCUAGGGUUAGGGUUAGGGUUAGGGUUGGAGUUAGGGUUAGUGUUGGAGCUAGGGUUAGGGUUGGGCUUGGAGCUAGGAUUUUUCUGAGUGCACUGAACCAACUCCCGAGUCUCUAGGACAUUCCUAAAAAAUUUGAUUUUUUCCCAUAGGAAUGCAUGGGUUAGGGUUAUGGUUAGGGUUAGGGUUGGAGCUAGGGUUAGGGUUAGGGUUAGGGUUGGAGUUAGGGUUAGUGUUGGAGCUAGGGUUAGGGUUGGGCUUGGAGCUAGGAUUUUUCUGAGUGCAAUGAACCAACUCCCGAGUCUCUUGGACGUUCCUAAAAAAAUUUGAUUUUUUUCCCAUAGGAAUGCAUGGGUUAGGGUUAGGGUUAGGGUUGGAGCUAGGGUUAGGGUUAGGGUUAGGGUUGGAGUUAGGGUUAGUGUUGGAGCUAGGGUUAGGGUUGGGCUUGGAGCUAGGAUUUUUCUGAGUGCACUGAACCAACUCCCGAGUCUCUAGGACAUUCCUAAAAAAAUUUGAUUUUUUCCCAUAGGAAUGCAUGGGUUAGGGUUAGGGUUAGGGUUGGAGCUAGGGUUAGGGUUAGGGUUAGGGUUGGAGUUAGGGUUAGUGUUGGAGCUAGGGUUAGGGUUGGGCUUGGAGCUAGGAUUUUUCUGAGUGCACUGAACCAACUCCCGAGUCUCUAGGACAUUCCUAAAAAAAUUUGAUUUUUUCCCAUAGGAAUGCAUGGGUUAGGGUUAUGGUUAGGGUUAGGGUUGGAGCUAGGGUUAGGGUUAGGGUUAGGGUUGGAGUUAGGGUUAGUGUUGGAGCUAGGGUUAGGGUUGGGCUUGGAGCUAGGAUUUUUCUGAGUGCACUGAACCAACUCCCGAGUCUCUAGGACAUUCCUAAAAAAAUUUGAUUUUUUCCCAUAGGAAUGCAUGGGUUAGGGUUAGGGUUAGGGUUGGAGCUAGGGUUAGGGUUAGGGUUAGGGUUGGAGUUAGGGUUAGUGUUGGAGCUAGGGUUAGGGUUGGGCUUGGAGCUAGGAUUUUUCUGAGUGCACUGAACCAACUCCCGAGUCUCUAGGACAUUCCUAAAAAAAUUUGAUUUUUUCCCAUAGGAAUGCAUGGGUUAGGGUUAUGGUUAGGGUUAGGGUUGGAGCUAGGGUUAGGGUUAGGGUUAGGGUUGGAGUUAGGGUUAGUGUUGGAGCUAGGGUUAGGGUUGGGCUUGGAGCUAGGAUUUUUCUGAGUGCAAUGAACCAACUCCCGAGUCUCUUGGACGUUCCUAAAAAAAUUUGAUUUUUUCCCAUAGGAAUGCAUGGGUUAGGGUUAGGGUUAGGGUUGGAGCUAGGGUUAGGGUUAGGGUUAGGGUUGGAGUUAGGGUUAGUGUUGGAGCUAGGGUUAGGGUUGGGCUUGGAGCUAGGAUUUUUCUGAGUGCACUGAACCAACUCCCGAGUCUCUAGGACAUUCCUAAAAAAAUUUGAUUUUUUCCCAUAGGAAUGCAUGGGUUAGGGUUAGGGUUAGGGUUGGAGCUAGGGUUAGGGUUAGGGUUAGGGUUGGAGUUAGGGUUAGUGUUGGAGCUAGGGUUAGGGUUGGGCUUGGAGCUAGGAUUUUUCUGAGUGCAAUGAACCAACUCCCGAGUCUCUUGGACGUUCCUAAAAAAAUUUGAUUUUUUCCCAUAGGAAUGCAUGGGUUAGGGUUAGGGUUAGGGUUGGAGCUAGGGUUAGGGUUAGGGUUAGGGUUGGAGUUAGGGUUAGUGUUGGAGCUAGGGUAGGGUUGGGCUUGGAGCUAGGAUUUUUCUGAGUGCAAUGAACCAACUCCCGAGUCUCUUGGACGUUCCUAAAAAAAUUUGAUUUUUUCCCAUAGGAAUGCAUGGGUUAGGGUUAGGGUUAGGGUUGGAGCUAGGGUUAGGGUUAGGGUUAGGGUUGGAGUUAGGGUUAGUGUUGGAGCUAGGGUUAGGGUUGGGCUUGGAGCUAGGAUUUUUCUGAGUGCAAUGAACCAACUCCCGGGUCUCUAGGACGUUCCUAAAAAAAUUUGAUUUUUUCCCAUAGGAAUGCAUGGGUAAGGGUUAGGGUUAGGGUUGGAGCUAGGAUUAGGGUUAGGGUUAGGGUUGGAGUUAAGGUUAGUGUUGGAGCUAGGGUUAGGGUUGGGCUUGGAGCUAGGAUUUUUCUGAGUGCAAUGAACCAACUCCCGAGUCUCUAGGACGUUCCUAAAAAAAUUUGAUUUUUUCCCAUAGGAAUGCAUGGGUUAGGGUUAUGGUUAGGGUUAGGGUUGGAGCUAGGGUUAGGGUUAGGGUUAGGGUUGGAGUUAGGGUUAGUGUUGGAGCUAGGGUUAGGGUUGGGCUUGGAGCUAGGAUUUUUCUGAGUGCAAUGAACCAACCCCCGAGUCUCUAGGACGUUCCUAAAAAAUUUGAUUUUUUCCCAUAGGAAUGCAUGGGUUAGGGUUAUGGUUAGGGUUAGGGUUGGAGCUAGGGUUAGGGUUAGGGUUAGGGUUGGAGUUAGGGUUAGUGUUGGAGCUAGGGUUAGGGUUGGGCUUGGAGCUAGGAUUUUUCUGAGUGCAAUGAACCAACUCCCGAGUCUCUAGGACGUUCCUAAAAAAAUUUGAUUUUUUCCCAUAGGAAUGCAUGGGUUAGGGUUAGGGUUAGGGUUGGAGCUAGGGUUAGGGUUAGGGUUAGGGUUGGAGUUAGGGUUAGUGUUGGAGCUAGGGUUAGGGUUGGGCUUGGAGCUAGGAUUUUUCUGAGUGCACUGAACCAACUCCCGAGUCUCUAGGACAUUCCUAAAAAAAUUUGAUUUUUUCCCAUAGGAAUGCAUGGGUUAGGGUUAGGGUUAGGGUUGGAGCUAGGGUUAGGGUUAGGGUUAGGGUUGGAGUUAGGGUUAGUGUUGGAGCUAGGGUUAGGGUUGGGCUUGGAGCUAGGAUUUUUCUGAGUGCACUGAACCAACUCCCGAGUCUCUAGGACAUUCCUAAAAAAAUUUGAUUUUUUCCUAUAGGAAUGCAUGGGUUAGGGUUAUGGUUAGGGUUAGGGUUGGAGCUAGGGUUAGGGUUAGGGUUAGGGUUGGAGUUAGGGUUAGUGUUGGAGCUAGGGUUAGGGUUGGGCUUGGAGCUAGGAUUUUUCUGAGUGCACUGAACCAACUCCCGAGUCUCUAGGACAUUCCUAAAAAAAUUUGAUUUUUUCCCAUAGGAAUGCAUGGGUUAGGGUUAGGGUUAGGGUUGGAGCUAGGGUUAGGGUUAGGGUUAGGGUUGGAGUUAGGGUUAGUGUUGGAGCUAGGGUUAGGGUUGGGCUUGGAGCUAGGAUUUUUCUGAGUGCACUGAACCAACUCCCGAGUCUCUAGGACAUUCCUAAAAAAAUUUGAUUUUUUCCUAUAGGAAUGCAUGGGUUAGGGUUAUGGUUAGGGUUAGGGUUGGAGCUAGGGUUAGGGUUAGGGUUAGGGUUGGAGUUAGGGUUAGUGUUGGAGCUAGGGUUAGGGUUGGGCUUGGAGCUAGGAUUUUUCUGAGUGCACUGAACCAACUCCCGAGUCUCUAGGACAUUCCUAAAAAAAUUUGAUUUUUUCCCAUAGGAAUGCAUGGGUUAGGGUUAUGGUUAGGGUAAGGGUUGGAGCUAGGGUUAGGGUUAGGGUUAGGGUUGGAGUUAGGGUUAGUGUUGGAGCUAGGGUUAGGGUUGGGCUUGGAGCUAGGAUUUUUCUGAGUGCAAUGAACCAACUCCCGAGUCUCUAGGACGUUCCUAAAAAAAUUUGAUUUUUUCCCAUAGGAAUGCAUGGGUUAGGGUUAGGGUUAGGGUUGGAGCUAGUGUUAGGGUUAGGGAUAGGGUUGGAGUUAAGGUUAGUGUUGGAGCUAGGGUUAGGGUUGGGCUUGGAGCUAGGAUUUUUCUGAGUGCAAUGAACCAACUCCCGAGUCUCUAGGACGUUCCUAAAAAAAUUUGAUUUUUUCCCAUAGGAAUGCAUGGGUUAGGGUUAUGGUUAGGGUAAGGGUUGGAGCUAGGGUUAGGGUUAGGGUUAGGGUUGGAGUUAGGGUUAGUGUUGGAGCUAGGGUUAGGGUUGGGCUUGGAGCUAGGAUUUUUCUGAGUGCAAUGAACCAACUCCCGAGUCUCUAGGACGUUCCUAAAAAAAUUUGAUUUUUUCCCAUAGGAAUGCAUGGGUUAGGGUUAGGGUUAGGGUUGGAGCUAGGGUUAGGGUUAGGGAUAGGGUUGGAGUUAAGGUUAGUGUUGGAGCUAGGGUUAGGGUUGGGCUUGGAGCUAGGAUUUUUCUGAGUGCACUGAACCAACUCCCGAGUCUCUAGGACGUUCCUAAAAAAAUUUGAUUUUUUCCCAUAGGAAUGCAUGGGUUAGGGUUAGGGUUAGGGUUAGGGUUGGAGCUAGGGUUAGGGUUAGGGUUAGGGUUGGAGUUAGGGUUGGGCUUGGAGCUAGGGUUAGGGUUGGGCUUGGAGCUAGGAUUUUUCUGAGUGCAAUGAACCAACCCCCGAGUCUCUAGGACGUUCCUAAAAAAAUCUGAUUUUUUCCCAUAGGAAUGCAUGGGUUAGGGUUAUGGUUAGGGUUAGGGUUGGAGCUAGGGUUAGGGUUAGGGUUAGGGUUGGAGUUAGGGUUAGUGUUGGAGCUAGGGUUAGGCUUGGGCUUGGAGCUAGGAUUUUUCUGAGUGCAAUGAACCAACUCCCGAGUCUCUAGGACGUUCCUAAAAAAAUUUGAUUUUUUCCCAUAGGAAUGCAUGGGUUAGGGUUAGGGUUAGGGUUGGAGCUAGGGUUAGGGUUAGGGUUAGGGUUGGAGUUAGGGUUAGUGUUGGAGCUAGGGUUAGGGUUGGGCUUGGAGCUAGGAUUUUUCUGAGUGCACUGAACCAACUCCCGAGUCUCUAGGACAUUCCUAAAAAAAUUUGAUUUUUUCCCAUUGGAAUGCAUGGGUUAGGGUUAGGGUUAGGGUUGGAGCUAGGGUUAGGGUUAGGGUUAGGGUUGGAGUUAGGGUUAGUGUUGGAGCUAGGGUUAGGGUUGGGCUUGGAGCUAGGAUUUUUCUGAGUGCACUGAACCAACUCCCGAGUCUCUAGGACAUUCCUAAAAAAAUUUGAUUUUUUCCCAUAGGAAUGCAUGGGUUAGGGUUAUGGUUAGGGUUAGGGUUGGAGCUAGGGUUAGGGUUAGGGUUAGGGUUGGAGUUAGGGUUAGUGUUGGAGCUAGGGUUAGGGUUGGGCUUGGAGCUAGGAUUUUUCUGAGUGCAAUGAACCAACUCCCGAGUCUCUUGGACGUUCCUAAAAAAAUUUGAUUUUUUCCCAUAGGAAUGCAUGGGUUAGGGUUAGGGUUAGGGUUGGAGCUAGGGUUAGGGUUAGGGUUAGGGUUGGAGUUAGGGUUAGUGUUGGAGCUAGGGUUAGGGUUGGGCUUGGAGCUAGGAUUUUUCUGAGUGCACUGAACCAACUCCCGAGUCUCUAGGACAUUCCUAAAAAAAUUUGAUUUUUUCCCAUAGGAAUGCAUGGGUUAGGGUUAGGGUUAGGGUUGGAGCUAGGGUUAGGGUUAGGGUUAGGGUUGGAGUUAGGGUUAGUGUUGGAGCUAGGGUUAGGGUUGGGCUUGGAGCUAGGAUUUUUCUGAGUGCACUGAACCAACUCCCGAGUCUCUAGGACAUUCCUAAAAAAAUUUGAUUUUUUCCCAUAGGAAUGCAUGGGUUAGGGUUAUGGUUAGGGUUAGGGUUGGAGCUAGGGUUAGGGUUAGGGUUAGGGUUGGAGUUAGGGUUAGUGUUGGAGCUAGGGUUAGGGUUGGGCUUGGAGCUAGGAUUUUUCUGAGUGCACUGAACCAACUCCCGAGUCUCUAGGACAUUCCUAAAAAAAUUUGAUUUUUUCCCAUAGGAAUGCAUGGGUUAGGGUUAGGGUUAGGGUUGGAGCUAGGGUUAGGGUUAGGGUUAGGGUUGGAGUUAGGGUUAGUGUUGGAGCUAGGGUUAGGGUUGGGCUUGGAGCUAGGAUUUUUCUGAGUGCACUGAACCAACUCCCGAGUCUCUAGGACAUUCCUAAAAAAAUUUGAUUUUUUCCCAUAGGAAUGCAUGGGUUAGGGUUAUGGUUAGGGUUAGGGUUGGAGCUAGGGUUAGGGUUAGGGUUAGGGUUGGAGUUAGGGUUAGUGUUGGAGCUAGGGUUAGGGUUGGGCUUGGAGCUAGGAUUUUUCUGAGUGCAAUGAACCAACUCCCGAGUCUCUUGGACGUUCCUAAAAAAAUUUGAUUUUUUCCCAUAGGAAUGCAUGGGUUAGGGUUAGGGUUAGGGUUGGAGCUAGGGUUAGGGUUAGGGUUAGGGUUGGAGUUAGGGUUAGUGUUGGAGCUAGGGUUAGGGUUGGGCUUGGAGCUAGGAUUUUUCUGAGUGCACUGAACCAACUCCCGAGUCUCUAGGACAUUCCUAAAAAAAUUUGAUUUUUUCCCAUAGGAAUGCAUGGGUUAGGGUUAGGGUUAGGGUUGGAGCUAGGGUUAGGGUUAGGGUUAGGGUUGGAGUUAGGGUUAGUGUUGGAGCUAGGGUUAGGGUUGGGCUUGGAGCUAGGAUUUUUCUGAGUGCAAUGAACCAACUCCCGAGUCUCUUGGACGUUCCUAAAAAAAUUUGAUUUUUUCCCAUAGGAAUGCAUGGGUUAGGGUUAGGGUUAGGGUUGGAGCUAGGGUUAGGGUUAGGGUUAGGGUUGGAGUUAGGGUUAGUGUUGGAGCUAGGGAUAGGGUUGGGCUUGGAGCUAGGAUUUUUCUGAGUGCAAUGAACCAACUCCCGAGUCUCUUGGACGUUCCUAAAAAAAUUUGAUUUUUUCCCAUAGGAAUGCAUGGGUUAGGGUUAGGGUUAGGGUUGGAGCUAGGGUUAGGGUUAGGGUUAGGGUUGGAGUUAGGGUUAGUGUUGGAGCUAGGGUUAGGGUUGGGCUUGGAGCUAGGAUUUUUCUGAGUGCAAUGAACCAACUCCCGGGUCUCUAGGACGUUCCUAAAAAAAUUUGAUUUUUUCCCAUAGGAAUGCAUGGGUAAGGGUUAGGGUUAGGGUUGGAGCUAGGAUUAGGGUUAGGGUUAGGGUUGGAGUUAAGGUUAGUGUUGGAGCUAGGGUUAGGGUUGGGCUUGGAGCUAGGAUUUUUCUGAGUGCAAUGAACCAACUCCCGAGUCUCUAGGACGUUCCUAAAAAAAUUUGAUUUUUUCCCAUAGGAAUGCAUGGGUUAGGGUUAUGGUUAGGGUUAGGGUUGGAGCUAGGGUUAGGGUUAGGGUUAGGGUUGGAGUUAGGGUUAGUGUUGGAGCUAGGGUUAGGGUUGGGCUUGGAGCUAGGAUUUUUCUGAGUGCAAUGAACCAACCCCCGAGUCUCUAGGACGUUCCUAAAAAAUUUGAUUUUUUCCCAUAGGAAUGCAUGGGUUAGGGUUAUGGUUAGGGUUAGGGUUGGAGCUAGGGUUAGGGUUAGGGUUAGGGUUGGAGUUAGGGUUAGUGUUGGAGCUAGGGUUAGGGUUGGGCUUGGAGCUAGGAUUUUUCUGAGUGCAAUGAACCAACUCCCGAGUCUCUAGGACGUUCCUAAAAAAUUUGAUUUUUUCCCAUAGGAAUGCAUGGGUUAGGGUUAGGGUUAGGGUUGGAGCUAGGGUUAGGGUUAGGGUUAGGGUUGGAGUUAGGGUUAGUGUUGGAGCUAGGGUUAGGGUUGGGCUUGGAGCUAGGAUUUUUCUUAGUGCAGUGAACCAACUCCCGAGUCUCUAGGACAUUCCUAAAAAAUUUGAUUUUUUCCCAUAGGAAUGCAUGGGUUAGGGUUAGGGUUAGGGUUGGAGCUAGGGUUAGGGUUAGGGUUAGGGUUGGAGUUAGGGUUAGUGUUGGAGCUAGGGUUAGGGUUGGGCUUGGAGCUAGGAUUUUUCUGAGUGCACUGAACCAACUCCCGAGUCUCUAGGACAUUCCUAAAAAAAUUUGAUUUUUUCCCAUAGGAAUGCAUGGGUUAGGGUUAUGGUUAGGGUUAGGGUUGGAGCUAGGGUUAGGGUUAGGGUUAGGGUUGGAGUUAGGGUUAGUGUUGGAGCUAGGGUUAGGGUUGGGCUUGGAGCUAGGAUUUUUCUGAGUGCAAUGAACCAACUCCCGAGUCUCUUGGACGUUCCUAAAAAAAUUUGAUUUUUUCCCAUAGGAAUGCAUGGGUUAGGGUUAGGGUUAGGGUUGGAGCUAGGGUUAGGGUUAGGGUUAGGGUUGGAGUUAGGGUUAGUGUUGGAGCUAGGGUUAGGGUUGGGCUUGGAGCUAGGAUUUUUCUGAGUGCACUGAACCAACUCCCGAGUCUCUAGGACAUUCCUAAAAAAAUUUGAUUUUUUCCCAUAGGAAUGCAUGGGUUAGGGUUAGGGUUAGGGUUGGAGCUAGGGUUAGGGUUAGGGUUAGGGUUGGAGUUAGGGUUAGUGUUGGAGCUAGGGUUAGGGUUGGGCUUGGAGCUAGGAUUUUUCUGAGUGCACUGAACCAACUCCCGAGUCUCUAGGACAUUCCUAAAAAAAUUUGAUUUUUUCCCAUAGGAAUGCAUGGGUUAGGGUUAUGGUUAGGGUUAGGGUUGGAGCUAGGGUUAGGGUUAGGGUUAGGGUUGGAGUUAGGGUUAGUGUUGGAGCUAGGGUUAGGGUUGGGCUUGGAGCUAGGAUUUUUCUGAGUGCAAUGAACCAACUCCCGAGUCUCUUGGACGUUCCUAAAAAAAUGUGAUUUUUUCCCAUAGGAAUGCAUGGGUUAGGGUUAGGGUUAGGGUUGGAGCUAGGGUUAGGGUUAGGGUUAGGGUUGGAGUUAGGGUUAGUGUUGGAGCUAGGGUUAGGGUUGGGCUUGGAGCUAGGAUUUUUCUGAGUGCACUGAACCAACUCCCGAGUCUCUAGGACAUUCCUAAAAAAAUUUGAUUUUUUCCCAUAGGAAUGCAUGGGUUAGGGUUAGGGUUAGGGUUGGAGCUAGGGUUAGGGUUAGGGUUAGGGUUGGAGUUAGGGUUAGUGUUGGAGCUAGGGUUAGGGUUGGGCUUGGAGCUAGGAUUUUUCUGAGUGCACUGAACCAACUCCCGAGUCUCUAGGACAUUCCUAAAAAAAUUUGAUUUUUUCCCAUAGGAAUGCAUGGGUUAGGGUUAUGGUUAGGGUUAGGGUUGGAGCUAGGGUUAGGGUUAGGGUUAGGGUUGGAGUUAGGGUUAGUGUUGGAGCUAGGGUUAGGGUUGGGCUUGGAGCUAGGAUUUUUCUGAGUGCAAUGAACCAACUCCCGAGUCUCUUGGACGUUCCUAAAAAAAUUUGAUUUUUUCCCAUAGGAAUGCAUGGGUUAGGGUUAGGGUUAGGGUUGGAGCUAGGGUUAGGGUUAGGGUUAGGGUUGGAGUUAGGGUUAGUGUUGGAGCUAGGGUUAGGGUUGGGCUUGGAACUAGGAUUUUUCUGAGUGCAAUGAACCAACUCCCGAGUCUCUAGGACGUUCCUAAAAAAAUUUGAUUUUUUCCCAUAGGAAUGCAUGGGUUAGGGUUAGGGUUAGGGUUGGAGCUAGGGUUAGGGUUAGGGUUAGGGUUGGAGUUAAGGUUAGUGUUGGAGCUAGGGUUAGGGUUGGGCUUGGAGCUAGGAUUUUUCUGAGUGCAAUGAACCAACUCCCGAGUCUCUAGGACGUUCCUAAAAAAAUUUGAUUUUUUCCCAUAGGAAUGCAUGGGUUAGGGUUAUGGUUAGGGUUAGGGUUGGAGCUAGGGUUAGGGUAAGGGUUAGGGUUGGAGUUAGGGUUAGUGUUGGAGCUAGGGUUAGGGUUGGGCUUGGAGCUAGGAUUUUUCUGAGUGCAAUGAACCAACCCCCGAGUCUCUAGGACGUUCCUAAAAAAAUUUGAUUUUUUCCCAUAGGAAUGCAUGGGUUAGGGUUAUGGUUAGGGUUAGGGUUGGAGCUAGGGUUAGGGUUAGGGUUGGAGUUAGGGUUAGUGUUGGAGCUAGGGUUAGGGUUGGGCUUGGAGCUAGGAUUUUUCUGAGUGCAAUGAACCAACUCCCGAGUCUCUAGGACAUUCCUAAAAAAAUUUGAUUUUUUUCCCAUAGGAAUGCAUGGGUUAGGGUUAGGGUUAGGGUUGGAGCUAGGGUUAGGGUUAGGGUUAGGGUUGGAGUUAGGGUUAGUGUUGGAGCUAGGGUUAGGGUUGGGCUUGGAGCUAGGAUUUUUCUGAGUGCAAUGAACCAACUCCCGAGUCUCUAGGACGUUCCUAAAAAAAUUUGAUUUUUUCCCAUAGGAAUGCAUGGGUUAGGGUUAGGGUUAGGGUUGGAGCUAGGGUUAGGGUUAGGGUUAGGGUUGGAGUUAGGGUUAGUGUUGGAGCUAGGGUUAGGGUUGGGCUUGGAGCUAGGAUUUUUCUGAGUGCACUGAACCAACUCCUGAGUCUCUAGGACAUUCCUAAAAAAAUUGAUUUUUUCCCAUAGGAAUGCAUGGGUUAGGGUUAGGGUUAGGGUUGGAGCUAGGGUUAGGGUUAGGGUUAGGGUUGGAGUUAGGGUUAGUGUUGGAGCUAGGGUUAGGGUUGGGCUUGGAGCUAGGAUUUUUCUGAGUGCACUGAACCAACUCCCGAGUCUCUAGGACAUUCCUAAAAAAAUUUGAUUUUUUCCCAUAGGAAUGCAUGGGUUAGGGUUAGGGUUAGGGUUGGAGCUAGGGUUAGGGUUAGGGUUAGGGUUGGAGUUAGGGUUAGUGUUGGAGCUAGGGUUAGGGUUGGGCUUGGAGCUAGGAUUUUUCUGGGUGCAAUGAACCAACUCCCGAGUCUCUUGGACGUUCCUAAAAAAUUUGAUUUUUUCCCAUUGCAAUGCAUUUGUUAGGGUUAGGGUUAGGGUUAGGGUUAGGGUUGGAGCUAGGGUUAGGGUUAGGGUUAGGGUUGGAGUUAGGGUUAGUGUUGGAGCUAGGGUUAGGGUUGGGCUUGGAGCUAGGAUUUUUCUGAGUGCAAUGAACCAACUCCCGAGUCUCUAGGACGUUCCUAAAAAAAUUUGAUUUUUUCCCAUAGGAAUGCAUGGGUUAGGGUUAUGGUUAGGGUUAGGGUUGGAGCUAGGGUUAGGGUUAGGGUUAGGGUUGGAGUUAGGGUUAGUGUUGGAGCUAGGGUUAGGGUUGGGCUUGGAGCUAGGAUUUUUCUGAGUGCAAUGAACCAACCCCCGAGUCUCUAGGACGUUCCUAAAAAAAUUUGAUUUUUUCCCAUAGGAAUGCAUGGGUUAGGGUUAUGGUUAGGGUUAGGGUUGGAGCUAGGGUUAGGGUUAGGGUUAGGGUUGGAGUUAGGGUUAGUGUUGGAGCUAGGGUUAGGGUUGGGCUUGGAGCUAGGAUUUUUCUGAGUGCAAUGAACCAACUCCCGAGUCUCUAGGACGUUCCUAAAAAAAUUUGAUUUUUUCCCAUAGGAAUGCAUGGGUUAGGGUUAGGGUUAGGGUUGGAGCUAGGGUUAGGGUUAGGGUUAGGGUUGGAGUUAGGGUUAGUGUUGGAGCUAGGGUUAGGGUUGGGCUUGGAGCUAGGAUUUUUCUGAGUGCAAUGAACCAACUCCCGAAUCUCUAGGACAUUCCUAAAAAAAUUUGAUUUUUUCCCAUAGGAAUGCAUGGGUUAGGGUUAGGGUUAGGGUUGGAGCUAGGGUUAGGGUUAGGGUUAGGGUUGGAGUUAGGGUUAGUGUUGGAGCUAGGGUUAGGGUUGGGCUUGGAGCUAGGAUUUUUCUGAGUGCACUGAACCAACUCCCGAGUCUCUAGGACAUUCCAAAAAAAAUUUGAUUUUUUCCCAUAGGAAUGCAUGGGUUAGGGUUAUGGUUAGGGUUAGGGUUGGAGCUAGGGUUAGGGUUAGGGUUAGGGUUGGAGUUAGGGUUAGUGUUGGAGCUAGGGUUAGGGUUGGGCUUGGAGCUAGGAUUUUUCUGAGUGCAAUGAACCAACUCCCGAGUCUCUUGGACGUUCCUAAAAAAAUUUGAAUUUUUCCAAUAGGAAUGCAUGGGUUAGGGUUAGGGUUAGGGUUGGAGCUAGGGUUAGGGUUAGGGUUAGGGUUGGAGUUAGGGUUAGUGUUGGAGCUAGGGUUAGGGUUGGGCUUGGAGCUAGGAUUUUUCUGAGUGCACUGAACCAACUCCCGAGUCUCUAGGACGUUCCUAAAAAAAUUUGAUUUUUUCCCAUAGGAAUGCAUGGGUUAGGGUUAGGGUUAGGGUUGGAGCUAGGGUUAGGGUUAGGGUUAGGGUUGGAGUUAGGGUUAGUGUUGGAGCUAGGGUUAGGGUUGGGCUUGGAGCUAGGAUUUUUCUGAGUGCACUGAACCAACUCCUGAGUCUCUAGGACAUUCCUAAAAAAAUUGAUUUUUUCCCAUAGGAAUGCAUGGGUUAGGGUUAGGGUUAGGGUUGGAGCUAGGGUUAGGGUUAGGGUUAGGGUUGGAGUUAGGGUUAGUGUUGGAGCUAGGGUUAGGGUUGGGCUUGGAGCUAGGAUUUUUCUGAGUGCACUGAACCAACUCCCGAGUCUCUAGGACAUUCCUAAAAAAAAUUGAUUUUUUCCCAUAGGAAUGCAUGGGUUAGGGUUAGGGUUAGGGUUGGAGCUAGGGUUAGGGUUAGGGUUAGGGUUGGAGUUAGGGUUAGUGUUGGAGCUAGGGUUAGGGUUGGGCUUGGAGCUAGGAUUUUUCUGAGUGCACUGAACCAACUCCCGAGUCUCUAGGACAUUCCUAAAAAAAUUUGAUUUUUUCCCAUAGGAAUGCAUGGGUUAGGGUUAUGGUUAGGGUUAGGGUUAGGGUUGGAGUUAGGGUUAGUGUUGGAGCUAGGGUUAGGGUUGGGCUUGGAGCUAGGAUUUUUCUGAGUGCAAUGAACCAACUCCCGAGUCUCUUGGACGUUCCUAAAAAAAAUUGAUUUUUUCCCAUAGGAAUGCAUGGGUUAGGGUUAGGGUUAGGGUUGGAGCUAGGGUUAGGGUUAGGGUUAGGGUUGGAGUUAGGGUUAGUGUUGGAGCUAGGGUUAGGGUUGGGCUUGGAGCUAGGAUUUUUCUGAGUGCAAUGAACCAACUCCCGAGUCUCUAGGACGUUCCUAAAAAAUUUGAUUUUUUCCCAUAGGAAUGCAUGGGUUAGGGUUAGGGUUAGGGUUGGAGCUAGGGUUAGGGUUAGGGUUAGGGUUCGAGUUAAGGUUAGUGUUGGAGCUAGGGUUAGGGUUGGGCUUGGAGCUAGGAUUUUUCUGAGUGCAAUGAACCAACUCCCGAGUCUCUAGGACGUUCCUAAAAAAAUUUGAUUUUUUCCCAUAGGAAUGCAUGGGUUAGGGUUAUGGUUAGGGUUAGGGUUGGAGCUAGGGUUAGGGUUAGGGUUAGGGUUGGAGUAAGGGUUAGUGUUGGAGCUAGGGUUAGGGUUGGGCUUGGAGCUAGGAUUUUUCUGAGUGCAAUGAACCAACCCCCGAGUCUCUAGGACGUUCCUAAAAAAUUUGAUUUUUUCCCAUAGGAAUGCAUGGAUUAGGGUUAGGGUUAGGGUUGGAGCUAGGGUUAGGGUUAGGGUUAGGGUUGGAGUUAGGGUUAGUGUUGGAGCUAGGGUUAGGGUUGGGCUUGGAGCUAGGAUUUUUCUGAGUGCAAUGAACCAACUCCCGAGUCUCUAGGACGUUCCUAAAAAAAUUUGAUUUUUUCCCAUAGGAAUGCAUGGGUUAGGGUUAGGGUUAGGGUUGGAGCUAGGGUUAGGGUUAGGGUUAGGGUUGGAGUUAGGGUUAGUGUUGGAGCUAGGGUUAGGGUUGGGCUUGGAGCUAGGAUUUUUCUGAGUGCACUGAACCAACUCCCGAGUCUCUAGGACAUUCCUAAAAAAAUUUGAUUUUUUCCCAUAGGAAUGCAUGGGUUAGGGUUAGGGUUAGGGUUGGAGCUAGGGUUAGGGUUAGGGUUAGGGUUGGAGUUAGGGUUAGUGUUGGAGCUAGGGUUAGGGUUGGGCUUGGAGCUAGGAUUUUUCUGAGUGCACUGAACCAACUCCCGAGUCUCUAGGACAUUCCUAAAAAAUUUGAUUUUUUCCCAUAGGAAUGCAUGGGUUAGGGUUAGGGUUAGGGUUGGAGCUAGGGUUAGGGUUAGGGUUAGGGUUGGAGUUAGGGUUAGUGUUGGAGCUAGGGUUAGGGUUGGGCUUGGAGCUAGGAUUUUUCUGAGUGCAAUGAACCAACCCCCGAGUCUCUAGGACGUCCCAAAAAAAAUUUGAUUUUUUCCCAUAGGAAUGCAUGGGUUAGGGUUAUGGUAAGGGUUAGGGUUGGAGCUAGGGUUAGGGUUAGGGUUAGGGUUGGAGUUAGGGUUAGUGUUGGAGCUAGGGUUAGGGUUGGGCUUGGAGCUAGGAUUUUUCUGAGUGCAAUGAACCAACUCCCGAGUCUCUAGGACAUUCCUAAAAAAAUUUGAUUUUUUCCCAUAGGAAUGCAUGGGUUAGGGUUAGGGUUAGGGUUGGAGCUAGGGUUAGGGUUAGGGUUAGGGUUGGAGUUAGGGUUAGUGUUGGAGCUAGGGUUAGGGUUGGGCUUGGAGCUAGGAUUUUUCUGAGUGCAAUGAACCAACUCCCGAGUCUCUUGGACGUUCCUAAAAAAAUUUGAUUUUUUCCCAUAGGAAUGCAUGGGUUAGGGUUAGGGUUAGGGUUGGAGCUAGGGUUAGGGUUAGGGUUAGGGUUGGAGUUAGGGUUAGUGUUGGAGCUAGGGUUAGGGUUGGGCUUGGAGCUAGGAUUUUUCUGAGUGCACUGAACCAACUCCCGAGUCUCUAGGACAUUCCUAAAAAAAUUUGAUUUUUUCCCAUAGGAAUGCAUGGGUUAGGGUUAUGGUUAGGGUUAGGGUUGGAGCUAGGGUUAGGGUUAGGGUUAGGGUUGGAGUUAGGGUUAGUGUUGGAGCUAGGGUUAGGGUUGGGCUUGGAGCUAGGAUUUUUCUGAGUGCAAUGAACCAACUCCCGAGUCUCUUGGACGUUCCUAAAAAAAUUUGAUUUUUUUCCAUAGGAAUGCAUGGGUUAGGGUUAGGGUUAGGGUUGGAGCUAGGGUUAGGGUUAGGGUUAGGGUUGGAGUUAGGGUUAGUGUUGGAGCUAGGGUUAGGGUUGGGCUUGGAGCUAGGAUUUUUCUGAGUGCACUGAACCAACUCCCGAGUCUCUAGGACAUUCCUAAAAAAAUUUGAUUUUUUCCCAUAGGAAUGCAUGGGUUAGGGUUAGGGUUAGGGUUGGAGCUAGGGUUAGGGUUAGGGUUAGGGUUGGAGUUAGGGUUAGUGUUGGAGCUAGGGUUAGGGUUGGGCUUGGAGCUAGGAUUUUUCUGAGUGCACUGAACCAACUCUCGAGUCUCUAGGACAUUCCUAAAAAAAUUUGAUUUUUUCCCAUAGGAAUGCAUGGGUUAGGGUUAGGGUUAGUGUUGGAGCUAGGGUUAGGGUUGGGCUUGGAGCUAGGAUUUUUCUGAGUGCAAUGAACCAACUCCCGAGUCUCUAGGACGUUCCUAAAAAAAUUUGAUUUUUUCCCAUAGGAAUGCAUGGGUUAGGGUUAGGGUUAGGGUUGGAGCUAGGGUUAGGGUUAGGGUUAGGGUUCGAGUUAAGGUUAGUGUUGGAGCUAGGGUUAGGGUUGGGCUUGGAGCUAGGAUUUUUCUGAGUGCAAUGAACCAACUCCCGAGUCUCUAGGACGUUCCUAAAAAAAUUUGAUUUUUUCCCAUAGGAAUGCAUGGGUUAGGGUUAUGGUUAGGGUUAGGGUUGGAGCUAGGGUUAGGGUUAGGGUUAGGGUUGGAGUAAGGGUUAGUGUUGGAGCUAGGGUUAGGGUUGGGCUUGGAGCUAGGAUUUUUCUGAGUGCAAUGAACCAACUCCCGAGUCUCUAGGACGUUCCUAAAAAAAUUUGAUUUUUUCCCAUAGGAAUGCAUGGAUUAGGGUUAGGGUUAGGGUUGGAGCUAGGGUUAGGGUUAGGGUUAGGGUUGGAGUUAGGGUUAGUGUUGGAGCUAGGGUUAGGGUUGGGCUUGGAGCUAGGAUUUUUCUGAGUGCAAUGAACCAACUCCCGAGUCUCUAGGACGUUCCUAAAAAAAUUUGAUUUUUUCCCAUAGGAAUGCAUGGGUUAGGGUUAGGGUUAGGGUUGGAGCUAGGGUUAGGGUUAGGGUUAGGGUUGGAGUUAGGGUUAGUGUUGGAGCUAGGGUUAGGGUUGGGCUUGGAGCUAGGAUUUUUCUGAGUGCACUGAACCAACUCCCGAGUCUCUAGGACAUUCCUAAAAAAAUUUGAUUUUUUCCCAUAGGAAUGCAUGGGUUAGGGUUAGGGUUAGGGUUGGAGCUAGGGUUAGGGUUAGGGUUAGGGUUGGAGUUAGGGUUAGUGUUGGAGCUAGGGUUAGGGUUGGGCUUGGAGCUAGGAUUUUUCUGAGUGCACUGAACCAACUCCCGAGUCUCUAGGACAUUCCUAAAAAAAUUUGAUUUUUUCCCAUAGGAAUGCAUGGGUUAGGGUUAGGGUUAGGGUUGGAGCUAGGGUUAGGGUUAGGGUUAGGGUUGGAGUUAGGGUUAGUGUUGGAGCUAGGGUUAGGGUUGGGCUUGGAGCUAGGAUUUUUCUGAGUGCAAUGAACCAACCCCCGAGUCUCUAGGACGUCCCAAAAAAAAUUUGAUUUUUUCCCAUAGGAAUGCAUGGGUUAGGGUUAUGGUAAGGGUUAGGGUUGGAGCUAGGGUUAGGGUUAGGGUUAGGGUUGGAGUUAGGGUUAGUGUUGGAGCUAGGGUUAGGGUUGGGCUUGGAGCUAGGAUUUUUCUGAGUGCAAUGAACCAACUCCCGAGUCUCUAGGACAUUCCUAAAAAAAUUUGAUUUUUUCCCAUAGGAAUGCAUGGGUUAGGGUUAGGGUUAGGGUUGGAGCUAGGGUUAGGGUUAGGGUUAGGGUUGGAGUUAGGGUUAGUGUUGGAGCUAGGGUUAGGGUUGGGCUUGGAGCUAGGAUUUUUCUGAGUGCAAUGAACCAACUCCCGAGUCUCUUGGACGUUCCUAAAAAAAUUUGAUUUUUUCCCAUAGGAAUGCAUGGGUUAGGGUUAGGGUUAGGGUUGGAGCUAGGGUUAGGGUUAGGGUUAGGGUUGGAGUUAGGGUUAGUGUUGGAGCUAGGGUUAGGGUUGGGCUUGGAGCUAGGAUUUUUCUGAGUGCAAUGAACCAACUCCCGAGUCUCUAGGACGUUCCUAAAAAAAUUUGAUUUUUUCCCAUAGGAAUGCAUGGGUUAGGGUUAGGGUUAGGGUUGGAGCUAGGGUUAGGGUUAGGGUUAGGGUUGGAGUUAAGGUUAGUGUUGGAGCUAGGGUUAGGGUUGGGCUUGGAGCUAGGAUUUUUCUGAGUGCAAUGAACCAACUCCCGAGUCUCUAGGACGUUCCUAAAAAAAUUUGAUUUUUUCCCAUAGGAAUGCAUGGGUUAGGGUUAUGGUUAGGGUUAGGGUUGGAGCUAGGGUUAGGGUUAGGGUUAGGGUUGGAGUUAGGGUUAGUGUUGGAGCUAGGGUUAGGGUUGGGCUUGGAGCUAGGAUUUUUCUGAGUGCAAUGAACCAACCCCCGAGUCUCUAGGACGUUCCUAAAAAAAUUUGAUUUUUUCCCAUAGGAAUGCAUGGGUUAGGGUUAUGGUUAGGGUUAGGGUUGGAGCUAGGGUUAGGGUUAGGGUUAGGGUUGGAGUUAGGGUUAGUGUUGGAGCUAGGGUUAGGGUUGGGCUUGGAGCUAGGAUUUUUCUGAGUGCAAUGAACCAACUCCCGAGUCUCUAGGACGUUCCUAAAAAAAUUUGAUUUUUUCCCAUAGGAAUGCAUGGGUUAGGGUUAGGGUUAGGGUUGGAGCUAGGGUUAGGGUUAGGGUUAGGGUUGGAGUUAGGGUUAGUGUUGGAGCUAGGGUUAGGGUUGGGCUUGGAGCUAGGAUUUUUCUGAGUGCACUGAACCAACUCCCGAGUCUCUAGGACAUUCCUAAAAAAAUUUGAUUUUUUCCCAUAGGAAUGCAUGGGUUAGGGUUAGGGUUAGGGUUGGAGCUAGGGUUAGGGUUAGGGUUAGGGUUGGAGUUAGGGUUAGUGUUGGAGCUAGGGUUAGGGUUGGGCUUGGAGCUAGGAUUUUUCUGAGUGCACUGAACCAACUCCCGAGUCUCUAGGACAUUCCUAAUAAAAUUUGAUUUUUUCCAAUAGGAAUGCAUGGGUUAGGGUUAGGGUUAGGGUUGGAGCUAGGGUUAGGGUUAGGGUUAGGGUUGGAGUUAGGGUUAGUGUUGGAGCUAGGGUUAGGGUUGGGCUUGGAGCUAGGAUUUUUCUGAGUGCACUGAACCAACUCCCGAGUCUCUAGGACAUUCCUAAAAAAAUUUGAUUUUUUCCCAUAGGAAUGCAUGGGUUAGGGUUAUGGUUAGGGUUAGGGUUGGAGCUAGGGUUAGGGUUAGGGUUAGGGUUGGAGUUAGGGUUAGUGUUGGAGCUAGGGUUAGGGUUGGGCUUGGAGCUAAGGAUUUUUCUGAGUGCAAUGAACCAACUCCCGAGUCUCUUGGACGUUCCUAAAAAAAUUUGAUUUUUUUCCAUAGGAAUGCAUGGGUUAGGGUUAGGGUUAGGGUUGGAGCUAGGGUUAGGGUUAGGGUUAGGGUUGGAGUUAGGGUUAGUGUUGGAGCUAGGGUUAGGGUUGGGCUUGGAGCUAGGAUUUUUCUGAGUGCACUGAACCAACUCCCGAGUCUCUAGGACAUUCCUAAAAAAAUUUGAUUUUUUCCCAUAGGAAUGCAUGGGUUAGGGUUAGGGUUAGGGUUGGAGCUAGGGUUAGGGUUAGGGUUAGGGUUGGAGUUAGGGUUAGUGUUGGAGCUAGGGUUAGGGUUGGGCUUGGAGCUAGGAUUUUUCUGAGUGCACUGAACCAACUCUCGAGUCUCUAGGACAUUCCUAAAAAAAUUUGAUUUUUUCCCAUAGGAAUGCAUGGGUUAGGGUUAUGGUUAGGGUUAGGGUUGGAGCUAGGGUUAGGGUUAGGGUUAGGGUUGGAGUUAGGGUUAGUGUUGGAGCUAGGGUUAGGGUUGGGCUUGGAGCUAGGAUUUUUCUGAGUGCAAUGAACCAACUCCCGAGUC
rnacentral:lncRNA from 1 species